AUGGGCACCAUAACAUUUAAUGUCAUUCAGAUAUUUUUGAUAUGGGUUGAAUCACUGUGGAAUUUAUACAAGAAAAUCUUUAGUGAUGGAACAAAACUUUUUGUCAUAGAUAAAAACCGUGCUGCAGACCUGUCCCCCACGCCCACUAUUUUUCUUCCUUCAAAUGCUGAAAUCAACCUCGAAAGGGCUGGAACAUAUCUUUGUCUCCUGGAGAAAUUUUUUCCUGGUGUUAUUAAAGUUUAUUGGAAAGAAAAGAAUGACAAGAAAGUUCUGCCAUCCCAGCAGGGAAACACCAUGAAGACUAAUGACACAUACAUGCAGUUCAGCUGGCUGACCGUGACCGAAAACUCCAUGGAUAAAGAACACGUAUGUGUCGUCACACACGAGACAGGCAAGGGAAGAAAAAAUCAAGAGACUCUUUUUCCUUCAAUGAAUGAAGUCGUCACCUCAGCUGUCCCUACUACUGAGUCUCCCAAUGAUUGUUUGAAGGAGGAUAGUGAAGUCCUUGAUACUGAUUCUACAGGAGCUUGUGCAAGAGAUGAAAGUGAAGUCACUGCUGUGAAUUCUACAAAUGGUUGUCUGAAAGAUGAAAGCAACACCCUGCAGCUGCAGCUCCUGAGCACCUCUGCCUUUUACACCUACUUCCUCCUUCUCCUCAAGAGUGCCAUCUACUUUGUCAUCACCGCCUUCUAUGUGUGUAGGAGAACAGCCCUCUGUGGAGAUGGGAAGAGCUCGUGACAGAGGGGGCCACAAAGGGGUCCCCUUUCCCUCAUCAUCUCUUGUCCUGAAAAUUCUCUGCUGAGGAUCUUGCUGGGCUUCCUUUCUGGGUUUGGGUUGCUUCAGAUAAUGUGUAUAUUUUUCUAUUAUUGGGUAAGGGUUUUUCAAACCAUUGUGCAAGCAGACAGUUUUACUCUGCAACAGGGAAUUCUGCCAUUACUCAGGGCAGGCUUGUCCAGGGGAGCCUCUCCCACCUCUGUCCCCACAGCCUCAUCAGCUCCUCCCGCCCCCGAGCCCUCCGCCUUCUGAGCGCACACAGAGGACAGCUCCCAUCUCCUCCCUCAGCGCCUCCAUCCAGACCACGGCCCCGACCCUCCCUGCCCACACCCUGGAGCCGCCAGCUUGCUACUUAAAUGCUGUAUGUAGAUUUUCAUAAAAGUCACAAAAAAUUUAAAAAUAUA